rnacentral:lncRNA from 1 species
CAGAAGUCCCUUUGCCACCAGAGGAGCCAGGCUUUCAUCCUGGUGGUAACGUCUUCGUUACAUUUCUGCUUUAUACCCCAUAGCAAACAUAUAAUCUGUAUGCUUCACAAAUUGCUACUGUGGCUAUACUGUAUACCUCACUGGUAUCCAGGACACCCUACCACUUAAUCAGCUCACGAGACCGUUCUGGACCUAUAACGAGAUUCCUCUAAGUUAAACCAGCAUGAUGAAACUCCCCUUGCUCUUCUGUGGAGCAGUGCUUGGGUUCAUUCUCCAAAGACGUUUUCCUGGCACUUCUCAGAAGAGGGCUGUACCUUGGUCCU